rnacentral:rRNA from 1 species
GCGGCGUGCUUAACACAUGCAAGUCGAGCGGUAAGGCCCUUCGGGGUACACGAGCGGCGAACGGGUGAGUAACACGUGGGUGAUCUGCCUCGCACUCUGGGAUAAGCCUGGGAAACUGGGUCUAAUACCGGAUAUGACCACGGAUCGCAUGGUUUGUGGUGGAAAGAUUUAUCGGUGCGAGAUGGGCCCGCGGCCUAUCAGCUUGUUGGUGGGGUAAUGGCCUACCAAGGCGACGACGGGUAGCCGGCCUGAGAGGGCGACCGGCCACACUGGGACUGAGACACGGCCCAGACUCCUACGGGAGGCAGCAGUGGGGAAUAUUGCACAAUGGGCGAAAGCCUGAUGCAGCGACGCCGCGUGAGGGAUGACGGCCUUCGGGUUGUAAACCUCUUUCGACAGGGACGAAGCGCAAGUGACGGUACCUGUAGAAGAAGCACCGGCCAACUACGUGCCAGCAGCCGCGGUAAUACGUAGGGUGCGAGCGUUGUCCGGAAUUACUGGGCGUAAAGAGCUUGUAGGCGGUUCGUCGCGUCGAUCGUGAAAACUUGCAGCUCAACUGCGAGCUUGCGGUCGAUACGGGCGGACUAGAGUACUGCAGGGGAGACUGGAAUUCCUGGUGUAGCGGUGAAAUGCGCAGAUAUCAGGAGGAACACCGGUGGCGAAGGCGGGUCUCUGGGCAGUAACUGACGCUGAGAAGCGAAAGCGUGGGUAGCGAACAGGAUUAGAUACCCUGGUAGUCCACGCCGUAAACGGUGGGCGCUAGGUGUGGGUUUCCUUCCACGGGAUCCGUGCCGUAGCUAACGCAUUAAGCGCCCCGCCUGGGGAGUACGGCCGCAAGGCUAAAACUCAAAGGAAUUGAC